rnacentral:rRNA from 1 species
CCUACGGGAGGCAGCAGUGAGGAAUAUUGGUCAAUGGACGAGAGUCUGAACCAGCCAAGUAGCGUGAAGGAUGACUGCCCUAUGGGUUGUAAACUUCUUUUAUAUGGGAAUAAAAUGUUCCACGUGUGGGAUUUUGUAUGUACCAUAUGAAUAAGGAUCGGCUAACUCCGUGCCAGCAGCCGCGGUAAUACGGAGGAUCCGAGCGUUAUCCGGAUUGAUUGGGUUUAAAGGGAGCGUAGGUGGAUUGUUAAGUCAGUUGUGAAAGUUUGCGGCUCAACCGUAAAAUUGCAGUUGAAACUGGCAGUCUUGCGUACAGUAGAGGUGGGCGAACUUCGUGGUGUAGCGGUGACAUGCUUAGAUAUAACGAAGAACUCCGUUUGCGAAGGCAGCUCACUGGACUGCAACUGACACUGAGGCUCGAAAGUGUGGGUAUCAAACAGGAUUAGAUACCCGUGUAGUC